rnacentral:lncRNA from 1 species
CUGUUUCCCAAGGGAGUGUUCUUCUGGAGUUUGCUUCUGGAUUCCUCACUCUCUGCGAACCUUGUUUGUGGAUGCCCCUCAAAAAUGCAAUGCCCGGCAUUAGAUGCACAAGCCCAGGCAAUUAAAAUGAAGACUGUUUCCAUGCGGGCCCCCGUGAAAGGGAUUCCUGUGUAUCUCAAGCAACAAAGAGAGCUGUGGAGCAAGGAGAUUCCCUGUGUAAUCGGGAGCACUGGAUGUGAAUCCCAGGUCUGGCAUGGGAACCUUGGAAUACUCAGUGAGUGAUGCUGAGUGGAAUGUUACGUAUCACCAUCAUCAUCAGCAUCCAUCCCACCACCAUCAUCACAACCACCACCACCACCAUCAUCAUCAUCAUCAUCAUCAACAGCUUUUUCCAAGCAAGUCUGGAAUAAGAAGAGAAGUCGGAGGAUUUAGGCUUUGUACUUCCUGGCAGCCCCAGCCCCUGAGGCUCAUGCGAUCCUGCUCACCUUCUCUCCCUGACCCCGAACCCUAAGGGGCUCCCGCACUCCAGAUCGUAGCUGGCUCUUCUCUAUUCUUUUCCUUAUUCCAGCCAUUAGAGUCUUUUGGGACUGGCUUCUCAACCUUUGUCACAUUGGGCUUGAUAUUUUUAGUUUCUUUCAGUGGUAAAUAUUAGAUUAUUCAGAAAAAUUGUUGUCCCAGAUUUCCACACAUGAUGGUAUAGAUACAGAAUAUACACUUAUAAAAUAAGCAGAAAUGAUAUCUCAUGAACAUUUGCUAGAAUUGAAAUAGAAGAGGUGCAGGCAGCAUCCCCAUAGCUUAAAAAUGAUCUGCUAAGAUGUGGGCAUGACUUUUCCCCACAAAACUUGCCACUCAUUUGAUAUUAUAGUGCGGGGGAAUAGUCUUCCUGACAUUUUAGUGGUUGUUAUUGCUGUAUUUUUUUUUUAGGGCAUAUUUUUUUAAGGGGAGAAAAUGAAGAAUAUGUAAGGAAAAAAAUCAGUACUUAGCUGGGUUACCUUUUAUUCUUAGGACAUUUACUUGUUAGCAUUACAGUCUUAAAAUAGUCUUCUACCAAAUACAUUACCAACAGGCAUUUCCAAAAUGCUGAGAGUACUCUAUCUAGUCUCAAAUUCUCAAGUUCAAAAAAAUGGAAUGCCAGUUCCUCCAUGGGCUGACACAGCCUCAUUAUUAUGGCCAUAUUUAUUUACUUAUUUAUUGUAGUAAAAUAUACAUAAUAUAAAAUUCAUCAUUUAAACCAUUUUAAGCAUACAGUUCAGUGCCUUUAAGUACAUUCACAUUGUUAUAUAAUCAUCACUACUAUCCAUCUUCAAAACUUUUUUUAUCUUCUGCAAUGAAAACUAUGUACCCAUUUAAUAAUAAUUCCUAAUUACCCCUACCCUCUGCCCGUAGCCACCACCAUUCUACUUUGUGUCUCUAUGAAUUUAACUACUGUCAGUACCUUAUGUAAGUGGAUUAGCGCCAAAUUUGUCUUUUUGCGAUUGGCUUAGUCACUUAGCAUCAUGUCUUCCAGGUUCAGUCAUAUUGCGGCAUAUGUCAGGAUUUUCUUCCCUUUAGGGUAACACUUAUUGAGCUCUUACUGCCUACCAGGCCUUGUGCUAUGCGCUUCAACAGACCUCACAAUCACCCUAUGAGGUAGGGAGUCUCACUAACUCCAUUUCACAGAUGAAGAAACUGAAGACAGGAAUGUUUAGAAAGCUGCCUGAUAUGGUUUAGCUCUG